rnacentral:rRNA from 1 species
GACAGAGGGUGCAACCGUUGUUCGGAAUUACUGGGCGUAAAGCGCGUGUAGGCGGCAGCGUGUGUCGGGCGUGAAAUCCCACGGCUCAACCGUGGAAGUGCACUCGAAACUGCGCAGCUAGAGUCCUGGAGAGGAAGGUGGAAUGCUUGGUGUAGAGGUGAAAUUCGUAGAUAUCAAGCGGAACACCGGUGGCGAAGGCGGCCUUCUGGACAGUGACUGACGCUGAAGCGCGAAAGCGUGGGGAGCAAACGGG